rnacentral:rRNA from 1 species
UGGGGAAUAUUGGACAAUGGGGGCAACCCUGAUCCAGCCAUGCCGCGUGAGCGAUGAAGGCCUUAGGGUUGUAAGGCUCUUUCACCGGUGACGAUGAUGACGGUAGCCGGAGAAGAAGCCCCGGCUAACUCCGUGCCAGCAGCCGCGGUAAUACGGAGGGGGCAAGCGUUGUUCGGAAUUACUGGGCGUAAAGGGCGCGCAGGCGGUCUGUUGCGUUAGGCGUGAAAGCCCUGGGCUCAACCCGGGAACGGCCUUCGAGACUGGGCAGCUCGAGACCGGAAGAGGAGGGUGGAAUACCCAGUGUAGAGGUGAAAUUCGUAGAUAUUGGGUGGAACACCAGUGGCGAAAGCGGCUCUCUGGUCCGGAUCUGACGCUGAGGCGCGAAAGCGUGGGGAGCAAACAGGAUUAGAUACCCGGGUAGUCC